CUCAUUUCAAAAAUAAGGAUAAACACCCCAAACCUAUAUUGUUCAUCAACUCUCUAAAUCCUCCAUUUUUCCCUCUCUCUCAAAAUCUUCAACAACAUCAUUUUAUGGAACCCCAUCAGACAAGCUCAACAACCUUGCUUGCGGAAUUCAACUAAAAGAAUCAAGCAAGAUUAGUGAAGUAGAAAAGGAACAAACCAACAAAAAAGGGAGAUUUCGAGCUGAAGUAGAGGACACAACAUGAAGAGAAGACCAGAACUGUUGGGACAACUACUUCUUCAAUUAAUAAAAAUUCUAAAAGCUGUGAGUUCUUUUACAUUAAGUUUUUAGCAUGAGGGUUCUUGGGAAAAUUCAAUUAAAAUUUUAAUUUAUUUCUCAAACCAUUUAUGAGGUCAAAUCGACUUAUUUAAAAAUUCAGAGAAGGUGAAGAAAUGAAAAUUUUGAGCAUAUAUGUCUUUUGAAACCUGCACUCAUACUCGUGAUUUCAAAAAAAUGCAUGUUGAUAUUCUAAUUGUGUGAUGGGUGAUUUAUAGUUUAGAUGUGUAAAUUCGACCACUAAGUCUGAAUAUGCAAGUUUCGAAUGUUUCUCCUUCUUACCUAUACUACUUGGCUCUAAAUGUUAUUCCAACAUUCUGAGUAUUUUUACCUUUGAUUUCCACAUCUUAAAUCUGAGAAUUUUGCCUCUGGUGGUUAUUAUUAAAUUCAGAGUAUUUUGUCUUUGGUAAAAUACUUCUUUUUUGUCUGAUGUGUUGCUUCUUUUAUGCCUUUAGUGUCAUUCCUUCAUCUUGCCUCUGAUUCAUAUUCUUCUAAAUUUGAGUCUUUUGCCUCUAGUUCUAGCUUUGAAUCAGGGACUUAUGAUUAAAUUACCACUGAUUUAGUGUAUUGUAAAGUUAUUUAUGAUUGUUAAGGAUGAGUGAUGCAUUGCAUACAUGACCUAAUAAAGGCAUCACAUACCAAACAUCUCAAGUAUAUUGCAUUCGCAUUAAUCAGAUCAUGCAUGACCUUAUUCAUGGUGGAGCAGUCAGGAGAACAAUCAGGAUGUUGGUUGGGGUUUGGCCAUACCACUUUCACCAAUUAUGACUCAACUAUCUUGGUGACUCACAUCAAGAUAUUGGGCGACUUUACCUUGUUUCAAAGAAAAUAUUUGAGGUCAUGCAUAGUUAUCAUAAAUGAUUUCAAUUAAGCUUUUAUGAAAAAUUGAAGUUAAGAGCUUCAUUAUGAGAUGCAUCAUAAUUUCAUGUUUUUAUGGGUGUUUAUGAAAGAGAUAUUUAUUAAAACUACCAGUCCCUUUAUUUCCAGAACUCACUGAGAUUUUAUCUCACCCUUUUAUUUUAUACAUUAGCAGUUGAAGGUGACUGAUGCUCAGUCCCACUACUAGAGGAUGAUCUGCAAGGCAUGUUUUGGACUUAGUGCCUUAUUUUAAUUUGAAGUAACUUGAUGUAUUAGGGAACAAUUUUAUAAUUACAAUACUGUUGUUGUAAUUUAG
rnacentral:lncRNA from 1 species